AGUGAACGCUGGCGGCGUGCUUAACACAUGCAAGUCGAACGAGAACGGAUUAUAGCUUGCUAUAAUUGUCAGCUAAGUGGCGCACGGGUGAGUAAUGUAUAGGUAAUAUGCCUCUUACUAAGGGAUAACAAAUGGAAACGUUUGCUAAUACCUUAUACUCCUUAUUAACAGAAGUUAAUAAGGGAAAGAUUUAUUGGUAAGAGAUUAGCCUGUAUUGUAUCAGUUAGUUGGUGGGGUAAUGGCUUACCAAGACUAUGACACAUAACUGGUUUGAGAGGAUGAUCAGUCACACUGGAACUGAGACACGGUCCAGACUCCUACGGGAGGCAGCAGUGGGGAAUAUUGCACAAUGGACGAAAGUCUGAUGCAGCAACGCCGCGUGGAGGAUGACACAUUUCGGUGCGUAAACUCCUUUUAUAUGAGAAGAUAAUGACGGUAUUAUAUGAAUAAGCACCGGCUAACUCCGUGCCAGCAG
rnacentral:rRNA from 1 species